GGAAAAGCCACACCUCUUUCAGUGCUCCACAUUUGUCCCUCCCAAAGCCAUAUACAGAUGAAGAGGACAAGGCCUACCUUGGUGGGGGAGAAGGAACUAUCCUUCAGUCAAAGUUAGAUGAGGCCUCCUGCUUCUUGUUAGAAACUCAAAAUACUCUCAGGGCUCAUGUUUAAGAUGAAUGAUGUACAAUAUAAAAACCACUGAAAUCUUCAGAAGAAUAACAGUUU
rnacentral:sRNA from 1 species